GACGUAGGGCGCGAGCGUUGUCCGGAUUUAUUGGGCGUAAAGAGCUCGUAGGCGGCUUGUUGCGUCAGCUGUGAAAACCCGCAGCUCAACUGUGGGCUUGCAGCUGAUACGGGCAGGCUUGAGUUCGGUAGGGGAGACUGGAAUUCCUGGUGUAGCGGUGAAAUGCGUAGAUAUCGAGAGGAACACCAGUGGCGAAGGCGAGUCCCUGGACAACACCUGACACUGAGGCACGAAAGCUAGGGGAGCAAACAGG
rnacentral:rRNA from 1 species